rnacentral:rRNA from 1 species
UUUUAUUUGAGAGUUUGAUCCUGGCUCAGGAUGAACGCUGGCGGCGUGCCUAACACAUGCAAGUUGAGCGAUUUACUUCGGUAAAGAGCGGCGGACGGGUGAGUAACGCGUGGGUAACCUACCCUGUACACACGGAUAACAUACCGAAAGGUAUGCUAAUACGGGAUAAUAUAUUUGAGAGGCAUCUCUUGAAUAUCAAAGGUGAGCCAGUACAGGAUGGACCCGCGUCUGAUUAGCUAGUUGGUAAGGUAACGGCUUACCAAGGCGACGAUCAGUAGCCGACCUGAGAGGGUGAUCGGCCACAUUGGAACUGAGACACGGUCCAAACUCCUACGGGAGGCAGCAGUGGGGAAUAUUGCACAAUGGGCGAAAGCCUGAUGCAGCAACGCCGCGUGAGUGAUGAAGGCCUUCGGGUCGUAAAACUCUGUCCUCAAGGAAGAUAAUGACGGUACUUGAGGAGGAAGCCCCGGCUAACUACGUGCCAGCAGCCGCGGUAAUACGUAGGGGGCUAGCGUUAUCCGGAUUUACUGGGCGUAAAGGGUGCGUAGGCGGUCUUUCAAGUCAGGAGUGAAAGGCUACGGCUCAACCGUAGUAAGCUCUUGAAACUGGGAGACUUGAGUGCAGGAGAGGAGAGUGGAAUUCCUAGUGUAGCGGUGAAAUGCGUAGAUAUUAGGAGGAACACCAGU